ACUACGGGUGGCAGCAGUGAGGAAUAUUGGUCAAUGGGAGAGAUCCUGAACCAGCCAAGCCGCGUGAGGGAAGACGGCCCUAUGGGUUGUAAACCUCUUUUGUCGGAGAACAAAACCCGGGACGUGUCCCGGACUGCGUGUAUCCGAAGAAAAAGCAUCGGCUAACUCCGUGCCAGCAGCCGCGGUAAUACGGGGGAUGCGAGCGUUAUCAGGUUUUCUUGGGUUUAACGGGCGCGUAGGUGGUCCGUUAAGUCAGCGGUAAAAUUGCGGGGCUCAACCCCGUCGAGACGUUGAUACUGGCAGACUUGAGUUGGCGAGAAGUACGCGGAAUGCGCGGUGUAGCGGUGAAAUGCAUAGAUAUCGCGAAGAACUCCGAUUGCGAAGGCAGCGUACCGGCGCCAGACUGACGCUGAGGCACGAAAGCGUGGGGAUCGAACAGGAUUAGAUACCCGUGUAGUC
rnacentral:rRNA from 1 species